rnacentral:rRNA from 1 species
UGGGGAAUAUUGCACAAUGGGCGCAAGCCUUAUGCAGCCAUGCCGCGUGUGUGAAGAAGGCCUUCGGGUUGUAAAGCACUUUCAGCGGGGAGGAAGGCGUUAAGGUUAAUAACCUUGGCGAUUGACGUUACCCACAGAAGAAGCACCGGCUAACUCCGUGCCAGCAGCCGCGGUAAUACGGAGGGUGCAAGCGUUAAUCGGAAUUACUGGGCGUAAAGCGCACGCAGGCGGUCUGUCAAGUCGGAUGUGAAAUCCCCGGGCUCAACCUGGGAACUGCAUUCGAAACUGGCAGGCUAGAGUCUUGUAGAGGGGGGUAGAAUUCCAGGUGUAGCGGUGAAAUGCGUAGAGAUCUGGAGGAAUACCGGUGGCGAAGGCGGCCCCCUGGACAAAGACUGACGCUCAGGUGCGAAAGCGUGGGGAGCAAACAGG